UGCGGGAGUUGCUGAUGACAAUGGGUAUGGUUGGGCAAUUACAAAGGCUCUUGCUGCUGCAGGUGCUGAAAUUCUUGUUGAAGCAUGGGUUCCUGUUACCAAAUGGAUCUCUGAUGGAAAUUACUAAAGUAUAUCCUCUAGAUACUGUUUAUGAUACUUUUGAUUAUUGGUUCUUAUUUCAACUGCUUAUAAACAUCUAUAGUUAGAGAAUUUGCCACUUUGACGAGUCAACAAUAUCAUAGUGGUUUCCCCUUAUCAGGAAGUAGCUGAGACUGGAAAACGACUUUGGAAGCAUCGACAUCCUUGUGCAUUCUCUUGCCAAUGGACCUGAGGUGACUAAACCAUUGCAUAAAAAACUACUUACAGGCAAGUAUUGAAAUUCAAGCAUUCUUUAUUCCUAUGCUUUGAGAAGUUCAUUUCCCAUUCUGACGUAGGUGUAUUCAAAAAAUCUUCAGUAGCUCGUUAUGGGUUGCAUAACAUAGUACAUGCCCAUUGGCUACUCUGAUAUAGCUGUAGGCCAGCUUUUGUGUGGAAGAACACCCAUAUUUAAAUGUUUGUUUUGAUGCAGGAACAUUUCAAAAUUUUGUUCAUUGUAAAAUUACACAGGCUGUGGAAGUUCUCUCUUCUUCCAUAAUUUUGUAUGUGUGUGAGUGCUGGUGGUUUUCCUGAGCUUAAAGAAACAACAUUUAGAUUUGUGAUGGGGUCUAUCUGCAUGUAGUUGUACUGGUUUGUGAUUAUUUUUGUGAUGUUAAGAGAUUGAUGUAAGAUGAUGCUGUUAUUUUAUUUAUUGUUCUAUAGGAUGAAAGGUUACCGGGGAGGAAAGAGAACCGUGGUUUGGUUGUACUUUGAUCAAAAUGGAAUGAAAUGUAUU